rnacentral:rRNA from 1 species
CAUAGCCUUUAGCCCAACAAGUAUUAAAGGUGAUGCCUGCCCAGUGAUUUUUUCAACGGCCGCGGGAUCCUACACCGUGCAAAGGUAGCAUAAUCACUUGUCACCUAAAUAGUGACUAGUAUGAACGGCCCAAUGAGGACUUUCCUGUCUCUUGUAACCAAUCAAUGAAACUGAUCUUCCAGUCCAAAAGCUGGAAUAAACUCACAAGACGAAAAGACCCUGUGGAACUUUAAGUGCCAAUCAAUAACAUGACAUAACCACUUUUUAGUUGGGGCAACUUUGGAACAAAACAAAACUUCCAAUCAGAACAAACUUACCCAAACUUAGGCCCACACACCAAACUUUUGAAUUCAUCUUAGACCCAGUACUACUGAUUAAAGAAACAAGCUACCCCAGGGAUAACAGCGCCAUCCCCUCUUAGAGCCCCAAUCGACGAGGGGGCUUACGACCUCGAUGUUGGAUCAGGGCCCCCAAACAGUGCAGCAGCUGUUAACGGUUUGUUUGUUCAACAAUUAAUGCCCUACGUGAUCU